GACGAACGCUGGCGGCGUGCUUAACACAUGCAAGUCGAACGGUGAACCUCUUCGGAGGGGAUCAGUGGCGAACGGGUGAGUAACACGUGGGCAACCUGCCCCCGGCUCUGGGAUAACUCCAAGAAAUUGGGGCUAAUACCGGAUGUUCACCGCUUCCCGCAUGGGUGGUGGUGGAAAGGGUUUCCGGCUGGGGAUGGGCCCGCGGCCUAUCAGCUUGUUGGUGGGGUAGUGGCCUACCAAGGCGACGACGGGUAGCCGGCCUGAGAGGGUGACCGGCCACACUGGGACUGAGACACGGCCCAGACUCCUACGGGAGGCAGCAGUGGGGAAUAUUGCGCAAUGGGCGGAAGCCUGAAGCAGCGACGCCGCGUGGGGGAUGACGGCCUUCGGGUUGUAAACCUCUUUCAGCAGGGACGAAGCGCAAGUGACGGUACCUGCAGAAGAAGCACCGGCCAACUACGUG
rnacentral:rRNA from 1 species